rnacentral:rRNA from 1 species
UUAAGCGACUAAGCGUACACGGUGGAUGCCCUGGCAGUCAGAGGCGAUGAAGGACGUGCUAAUCUGCGAAAAGCGUCGGUAAGGUGAUAUGAACCGUUACAGCCGGCGAUGUCCGAAUGGGGAAACCCAGUGCAAUUCGUUGCACUAUCGUUAACUGAAUACAUAGGUUAACGAGGCGAACCGGGGGAACUGAAACAUCUAAGUACCCCGAGGAAAAGAAAUCAACCGAGAUUCCCCCAGUAGCGGCGAGCGAACGGGGAGCAGCCCAGAGUCUGAAUCAGCUUGUGUGUUAGUGGAACGGUCUGGAAAGUCCGACGGUACAGGGUGAUAGUCCCGUACACCAAAAUGCACAGGCUGUGAACUCGAAGAGUAGGGCGGGACACGUGGUAUCCUGUCUGAAUAUGGGGGGACCAUCCUCCAAGGCUAAAUACUCCUGACUGACCGAUAGUGAACCAGUACCGUGAGGGAAAGGCGAAAAGAACCCCGGCGAGGGGAGUGAAAAAGAACCUGAAACCGUGUACGUACAAGCAGUGGGAGCACCUUCGGGUGUGACUGCGUACCUUUUGUAUAAUGGGUCAGCGACUUAUAUUCUGUAGCAAGGUUAACCGUAUAGGGGAGCCGCAGGGAAACCGAGUCUUAACUGGGCGUUAAGUUGCAGGGUAUAGACCCGAAACCCGGUGAUCUAGCCAUGGGCAGGUUGAAGGUUGGGUAACACUAACUGGAGGACCGAACCGACUAAUGUUGAAAAAUUAGCGGAUGACUUGUGGCUGGGGGUGAAAGGCCAAUCAAACCGGGAGAUAGCUGGUUCUCCCCGAAAGCUAUUUAGGUAGCGCCUCGUGAAUUCAUCUUCGGGGGUAGAGCACUGUUUCGGCUAGGGGGUCAUCCCGACUUACCAACCCGAUGCAAACUACGAAUACCGAAGAAUGUUAUCACGGGAGACACACGGCGGGUGCUAACGUCCGUCGUGAAGAGGGAAACAACCCAGACCGCCAGCUAAGGUCCCAAAGUCAUGGUUAAGUGGGAAACGAUGUGGGAAGGCACAGACAGCCAGGAUGUUGGCUUAGAAGCAGCCAUCAUUUAAAGAAAGCGUAAUAGCUCACUGGUCGAGUCGGCCUGCGCGGAAGAUGUAACGGGGCUAAACCAUGCACCGAAGCUGCGGCAGCGACACUAUGUGUUGUUGGGUAGGGGAGCGUUCUGUAAGCCUGCGAAGGUGACCUGUGAGGGUUGCUGGAGGUAUCAGAAGUGCGAAUGCUGACAUAAGUAACGAUAAAGCGGGUGAAAAGCCCGCUCGCCGGAAGACCAAGGGUUCCUGUCCAACGUUAAUCGGGGCAGGGUGAGUCGACCCCUAAGGCGAGGCCGAAAGGCGUAGUCGAUGGGAAACAGGUUAAUAUUCCUGUACUUGGUGUUACUGCGAAGGGGGGACGGAGAAGGCUAUGUUAGCCGGGCGACGGUUGUCCCGGUUUAAGCAUGUAGGCUGGUUGUCCAGGCAAAUCCGGAUAAUCAAGGCUGAGGUGUGAUGACGAGGCACUACGGUGCUGAAGUAACAAAUGCCCUGCUUCCAGGAAAAGCCUCUAAGCAUCAGGUAACAUCAAAUCGUACCCCAAACCGACACAGGUGGUCAGGUAGAGAAUACCAAGGCGCUUGAGAGAACUCGGGUGAAGGAACUAGGCAAAAUGGUGCCGUAACUUCGGGAGAAGGCACGCUGGUGUGUAGGUGAAGUCCCUGCGGAUGGAGCUGAGACCAGUCGAAGAUACCAGCUGGCUGCAACUGUUUAUUAAAAACACAGCACUGUGCAAACACGAAAGUGGACGUAUACGGUGUGACGCCUGCCCGGUGCCGGAAGGUUAAUUGAUGGGGUUAUCCGUAAGGAGAAGCUCUUGAUCGAAGCCCCGGUAAACGGCGGCCGUAACUAUAACGGUCCUAAGGUAGCGAAAUUCCUUGUCGGGUAAGUUCCGACCUGCACGAAUGGCGUAAUGAUGGCCAGGCUGUCUCCACCCGAGACUCAGUGAAAUUGAACUCGCUGUGAAGAUGCAGUGUACCCGCGGCAAGACGGAAAGACCCCGUGAACCUUUACUAUAGCUUGACACUGAACAUUGAGCCUUGAUGUGUAGGAUAGGUGGGAGGCUUUGAAGCGUGGACGCCAGUCUGCGUGGAGCCAACCUUGAAAUACCACCCUUUAAUGUUUGAUGUUCUAACGUUGGCCCCUGACCGGGGUUGCGGACAGUGUCUGGUGGGUAGUUUGACUGGGGCGGUCUCCUCCCAAAGCGUAACGGAGGAGCACGAAGGUUAGCUAAUCCUGGUCGGACAUCAGGAGGUUAGUGCAAUGGCAUAAGCUAGCUUGACUGCGAGCGUGACGGCGCGAGCAGGUGCGAAAGCAGGUCAUAGUGAUCCGGUGGUUCUGAAUGGAAGGGCCAUCGCUCAACGGAUAAAAGGUACUCCGGGGAUAACAGGCUGAUACCGCCCAAGAGUUCAUAUCGACGGCGGUGUUUGGCACCUCGAUGUCGGCUCAUCACAUCCUGGGGCUGAAGUAGGUCCCAAGGGUAUGGCUGUUCGCCAUUUAAAGUGGUACGCGAGCUGGGUUUAGAACGUCGUGAGACAGUUCGGUCCCUAUCUGCCGUGGGCGCUGGAGAAUUGAGGGGGGCUGCUCCUAGUACGAGAGGACCGGAGUGGACGCAUCACUGGUGUUCGGGUUGUCAUGCCAAUGGCACUGCCCGGUAGCUAAAUGCGGAAGAGAUAAGUGCUGAAAGCAUCUAAGCACGAAACUUGCCCCGAGAUGAGUUCUCCCUGAGACUUUAAGUCUCCUGAAGGAACGUUGAAGACGACGACGUUGAUAGGCCGGGUGUGUAAGCGCAGCGAUGCGUUGAGCUAACCGGUACUAAUGAACCGUGAGGCUUAACCUU